CAGGGAAUAUUAGUAAUGGGCGAAAGCCUGAACUAGCAACGCCGCGUGUGCGAAGAAGGCCUUCGGGUUGUAAAGCACUUUUUGAGAGGAUGAGGAAGGACGGUACUCUCAGAAUAAGUCUCGGCUAACUACGUGCCAGCAGCCGCGGUAACACGUAGGAGGCAAACGUUAUCCGGAUUUACUGGGCGUAAAGCGCGUGUAGGUGGUUUGGUAAGUAGGGCGUGAAAGCUCCUGGCUCAACUGGGAGAGGCCGUUCUAAACUGCCGAACUAGAGGAUGGUAGAGGGAGGUGGAAUUCCGGGUGUAGCGGUGGAACGCGCAGAUAUCCGGAGGAACACCAGUGGCGAAAGCGGCCUCCUGGACCAUUCCUGACACUCAGACGCGAAAGCUAGGGUAGCAAACGG
rnacentral:rRNA from 1 species